rnacentral:lncRNA from 1 species
GGAAUUUUUAAUUUUCAUGGAUUUGGUGGUGAUGAAUUAAAAUUCCCGGUUUUGCGGUGGUUCCCACACCCAAAGGGGGUCCCGGGGGUCGUCACCCCCACCCAGGUUCGGGGUUUUUGCCUCCUCAUCCUCACCUGCGAUGACGCCCAGGGUGCCCAGGGCCAGCGCCAGCAGAGCCGGGGGCUCCAUCCCGGGGGGAGCACCGGGAGCACCGGGAGGGGUCGGGAUGCUCCGGGAUGUACCGGGAUGCGCCGGGAUGCGCCGGGAUGCACCGGGAGGGGUCGGGAUGCUCCGGGAGCACCGGGAGCACCGGGAGGGGUCGGUUCUGGCUCUCCGGGAGCACCGGGAAGGCUCCGGUCCGGUUCGGUUCACGCUCUCCGGGAGCACCGGGAGGGGUCGGUUCGGUUCUCCGGGAUAGGUCGGUUCGGGAUGUCCGGGAAGGGUCGGUUCAGGGUCAGUUCGGGAUGUCCGGGAGCACCGGGAGGGGUCGGUUCGGUUCUCCGGGAUAGGGCGGUUCGGGUUCUCCGGGAAGGUUCGGUUCAGGCUCGGUUCGGGGUCGGUUCAGGCUCGGUUCAGGCUCGGUUCGGGGUCGGUUCAGGCUCGGUUCGGGCUCGGUUCGGGCUCGGUUCGGUCUCUCCGUUCCGGUUCCCUCGCGGCUCUUCCGGGUCCGUCCCGUUCGGGGUCUCUGGGUGGGCUCUGAGCGCGCUCCGCGCCCCGCGGUCCCUCCGUCCGUCCGUCCGUCCGUCCUUCUGUCCCUCCCGUGUCCCUCCCGUGUCCCUCCCGUGUCCCUCUGUCCCCUCCCGUGUCCCUCCCGUGUCCGUCUGUCCCUCCUCGUGUCCGUCCGUCCCUCCCGGGCUCCGUUUCGUGCCGGUCCCGCCCCCGGGGAUUUCCGGGGCUGCGGAGACUUCGCAGCCCGGGGGCGGCUCCGGCCCCUCCUGCCCC